CCUACGGGAGGCAGCAGUGGGGAAUAUUGGACAAUGGGCGAAAGCCUGAUCCAGCCAUGCCGCGUGUGUGAAGAAGGCCUUCGGGUUGUAAAGCACUUUCAGUGGGGAAGAAAGCCUUGGGGCUAAUACCCUCGAGGAAGGACAUCACCCACAGAAGAAGCACCGGCUAACUCAGUGCCAGCAGCCGCGGUAAUACGGAGGGUGCGAGCGUUAAUCGGAAUUACUGGGCGUAAAGCGCGCGUAGGCGGUCUGAUAAGCCGGUUGUGAAAGCCCCGGGCUCAACCUGGGAACGGCAUCCGGAACUGUCAGGCUAGAGUGCAGGAGAGGAAGGUAGAAUUCCCGGUGUAGCGGUGAAAUGCGUAGAGAUCGGGAGGAAUACCAGUGGCGAAGGCGGCCUUCUGGACUGACACUGACGCUGAGGUGCGAAAGCGUGGGUAGCAAACAGGAUUAGAUACCCGGGUAGUC
rnacentral:rRNA from 1 species